UUAUUGGAUUCCUGUUUUACAAACGAUGUAUUUAUACCGUCAGCACAUAAAUACAAUCCACAAUAACGCACAAAAUAAUUAGAACUAUUAAGAAGCUAAAAGCUUGGGAAAAAAGGCAAAUGGCAGACACUAGUGUCAUUUUACUUGUGCAAAGUAUUUAUAAGUUGAAUAAUAUGACUUUUCUGAUUAAAACAUUAACCUUUUGAUAACUAUUUUGUUAUUAAACUGUUAUUAAAUCUGUUAAACUCUGUUUCACUCUAAAAGACACUAGUUUGUGUUUCAAUAUACGUGAGGGGACAAUAUAAAAGGGAGGGAACUAUCUUGCUGGUUGAACUCUUUAGUGACGUCAGACGUACGCUGCGCGCUCUGAGCCUUGACCCCGAUUCAAAUCGAAUAACCGCACAACAACGGUAGUUUUCGUGAUUAAGUAAAUAAAAAAAUAUGUGUACAGUAUGUGUAUAUGUGUGCCCUGGUUUAAGAAAAUGUGAACCGCAAACCGAGCUGGUUAAAACUUGUCAACAAGCAAGACACCACAGGAAGAAAUUCGUGGUCUUGGUGGGCGAAGUAUUUCCGGGAUGCUAAAGAAGUCACUGGUCUCCAUCUCUCUUCCAUCCCAUCCCCUUCUCUCCUCUUCAUCUCCCUCUUCAUACUCACUCUACCCCUCUCUCCCAUUCCCCUCAACCUCACUCCCCCUCCCUAACCCCACACCUCUUUCUCUCACUCUCCCCCUUAUCCUUCACUCCCCCCCCCCACAAUAGGUACGCCUCCAUCCCCUCUUGGCAGCUCCAUCUACCACCCCACCACCCCCCAAUGUCUCUCCUCCCUCUCCUGGGUUGGUUUCCACAGCUGUGGUGAGUGAGGGGCAGAUGACCGGAGAAUUGGCCCCUGGGAGAGCGCUGAGCCAUCCUGGUGCUAUUAGGCUCGUGGCUAAUAAUAGGUGUUUCAGACCGGGGGAAGAUCAAUCAGGGGGAAUCAUGGGGAAUGUUCGGAGCAGCGCUUUUUACACAUCGGCCCAGAUGGAUGAAAUUACACUUGUCAGUUUUUAGUUGCAUUACUCCCAAAUUGGUUGUCUACUCUUUUUUUCUCUCCCUCCCUCCCUCACUCUCCCUCUCUCUCUCUUCUCUCCUUUCUCUCUCUUUGCCCUCAUUCAUGUGUCAGUGGCCUGCUAAAAGGAUUCGGUGGUGAAAUCCCUGUCAUUUUUGUCUUUUCCUUGUUUAGCGCUCAGCCAGCAACUCUGUUGCCUGCAUAUAUGCGCUUAAAAGAAAUCAGGGUAAGAUCUUGUAUUAGGCCUCAGGCAAUUUCCAUGUUAAAGGCAACUGUAACUGACAUUCUGCAUGUGUCCUGCAUGUAUAAUAAAACUAGUUCACGGA